CAAAUGUGUGAGAAAGCCAGAGGAGAAGUACAAGAAGGAUUUAGAAGUUGUCUACCGAUGUUUGGGUAGCUAGAAAGUUUUGGUGAAAAUUAAUAAAGGAAAACCUCACUAAGAUGGAGUCAGGAAGCCAGAAGGGGGAGCUCUCAAGCAGUACCACCUGAUGUCAAUUACAGGCAGCAUUGUCAAUUACAGACCCCAACAGAAGAAUCAUCAACGGGAAAGAAUCAUCCAUCACAGGUCCCAACAGGAAAAGAUGUACAUGGUGUCUCCUACAAGAAAUUGACUACCCCAGCAACUCAGCCAGUGAGAAACCGUCAUCACCCUGAACUCUCAUUUUUCUCCGAUGGACUUUUUUCAAAAUAACCCCUUCCAUCUUGCUCCUUUUCUCUCUAUAAAAUAACAUUCCUCU